GCCCUCGGAAACCCCGCGCCCGCCUCCGCCCGCCCGCACGCCAGAAACCUCGCCGCAGGAAACCGCCGACCCUACCACCCGCCCACCCUACCGCCCUACCGCCCGCCCGCAAAUCCUUCCGCCGCGAACCGCCCAACCACUCGCUCCCACGCCGCAAUCCCACCGCGAAAGCCGCGAACCCGACGCCUUCCACCAUCCCGCCGGCCGGGCGGCUUCUGGGGCCACCCCGAGGACGGCCACCGCUCGGGCGACGCGACCUUCAAGGGAGGGCCCCACGACGCGCGCCUCAAGGCCUUCUUCGUCUGCAACACCCACAUGUAGCCGGCUCGACGUUCUCCGCUAAUUCGCUUGGACGCCUCGCCGGCCGGAGGGAAAGGAAGAGUCGGAGUAGCCUGCCCGGCUGGGAACCGACAGCUUCUCCGUUUCAGAAGCACGCGGGCGGGGAGGUGGGGUCGGGAGAUCGCGGGGUGCUCCUUUGUCUCCAGGGCAGAGGAGAAACGCGCACGGCUGGGGAAGAACCGAAGAAGGAAGAGGAAGGUGCCGGUGGACCAAACACGGAUCUUUCAGUGGAGUUCGGGAAGAGUACUGGCACGCACGCCAAGGUUGCAUCUCCGCCGUCCACCACGAAGCGCACGCGAACCCGACGCCUUCCACCAUCCCGCCGGUCGGGCGGCUUCUGGGACCACCCCGAGGACGGCCACCGCCCGGGCGACGCGACCUUCAAGGGAGCUCGGCAUGUUCGACGGGGACCCCGCGGCCGAGCCGUUCGGGCGCCUGGGCCCCGCGGACGUGUGCUCCAGGGAGCACCAGGACCUGGCGCUCGACGCGCCGCGCCAGGGCGUCGUGCUCCUCAAGAACCGGAGCGGUGGGUGGCUACACCCAUACUUUGCAGCUACACCCAUACUUUGCAGUUACUUAAUUCGGAGCGGUGGGCGGCCGCUCCCUGCCCCGCUCCAUCUCGCCAGAGAAGGCAAAGAUCUAGCUGCCAAGUUCUGGCAGCUCUCUCUGUGUGAAUCAAACGAUACGUACAGGUAGAUGUAUUGGUGGGCCUGCUUCUUCAACAUCAUCAUCUCCUCCUCCGAUGCUGCUUACCUCUCAGUCCUCACCACUCCCCUCAUGGUGAAUGACCCUUCUGGCAGUUUUCCCAAAUCAAGUCUGAAUCGAGCACUUCAGUUGAGAGUAGUCACUCUGGAGUAGAGCAAUGGAGAAUUCAUUUGCACCUCUACAUAUUCAAGAAAUCCCUUGGGAAAGUGAGUACAUCUGACGUGUUUGAUGUCAAAGACUCUGAUUUGGUCCCAGGAAAAUAUGAAGGUGUCAAGUGGGUUGAAGCUUUGGGAAGGUUCAUUAGACUUGGUGAAGGCCCUGAAUUCUGAUAUCAAAGAAUAUAAAUUGCGUGUAGAAGGCAAACACGUAUUAGAGCUUGGAUGUGGACAUGGACUCCGUGGCAUUUUUGCAGGUCUCAAGUGGAGUAUAGUGAACUACAUCAUAAGCUGUAGCAUUCAUCGAUCCAGAUCCAAACGUCCUUCGGACUCUUCCUUCUGCAUUUGUGUGGAGUGGGGAUUCAUCCGGCCUUCUUCUCUUGCAGAUGAAAAGCGUCAUGAGAAAGGCAAAGCUGAGUUUAAGAAGGUUGUAGAAUCACUGGGACAUGUAAUACUCGGGUGGCGUCUGGUUCCGACUGACAACUCAGACUUGGGUGAAUCUGCACUCGAGACUGAGCCAGUCAUUGAGCAGGUUUUCGUUACCAAGAGCUCAAGAUCAGAGGCUGAGUUUGAGCAACAGGGCGGCGGUGGGCAUGCUGCUCGGCGGCGAGGACAUGCACAGGUUCCCGGUGCGCUCCCCGCGGAUGGACCGCGGCGACCUCAUCUGCAGUCCCGCCGCGCGGCAGAUCGUGUCCAACUACUUCAGCAUGUUCGGGCCGGUGCAGGACGUGCGCAUCCCGUACCAGCAGAAGCACAUGUUCGGCUUCGUCACCUUCGUGUACGCCGAGACGGUGAAGGUCAUCCCAAGCAAGGGCAACCCGCACUUCGUGUGCUACGCGCGCGUGCUCGUCAAGCCCUACAAGGAGAAGGGCAAGAUCCCCGGCAGGUUCAGGAAGCUGCAGCACGCGCACCAUGGCGGAGCCGAGUUCGGCGAUUGCGCGUCGCCCACCAGAUUGCUGGAUUUCAGGGACCCCUACGCCCUCCUGCUUCUUUCAGGUGCCCAGGUUUUCUCCUGGGCAUGAAGCCAUUGGGCUAUGAUGUGUGAGGUGCAUAGAGCAAAAAAAGGGGAAGGGGGGCCCUCCAUUCCUCUAAUCUGGGAGGGACUACUAAUAUGGCUACAUGAUGGCCGGCCCUAUCAACCGAGCGUAGAGAAGCUUUGACAAAGAAAAAAGAAAUACCUUUGGAGAGGUGUAAUCUUAAGGAGGGGACAGUGAAGACAGCAACAGAGAAGAAACAAGUCCAGGUUGUUUUUUUAGCUCUUAGGCCUAUGAUAAGUAUAUGAUAGUGAGUGAGUAGUAGGCAUAAAUAAUAAUAGUAGUAGUAGUUAAUUAGUAGUCGUUUGUUAGUAGAUGCUGCCAGUGUCAAGAAGGUGAUGAAAAGGCACACUCCAGCUCUCUCCUAUGCUCGUUUGUGGCAUGGAUGGAUCUCUCACUGUUGCUAUGAUAUGUUGUUUUAUUUACAAUAUCGUGUGAAUAAAUAUUUAAUG